rnacentral:misc_RNA from 1 species
GCGAGCUAUGCAGUAAGCUCUCAUCAAAGCUUUAAGGAAGCUCUUUGUUUUUUGAAAGGGUGCUUUUAUGAGAUAGAGAUUUUUUAGAUAAUGCUUUUUUAGAUAAUGCUGGGGAAGGUUUUCCGGUUUAUCUCGGAGGGCUUGUAGCUCACUUGGUUAGAGCGCGCGCUUGAUAAGCGUGAGGUCGGAGGUUCAAGUCCUCCCAGGCCCACCAAUUUACCUAUCCAUUUGCCUUUAUCUGUUUAUUUGCCGAUUUAUCGGUCCAUUGAAUUUAAGUGUUGGUAGCAGUUUUAUAAUGAUGAGAAAUCAUGCUUAUAAAAGAACUCCUUAUAAAAGGCUUGUUUUUAAAAUGUGACGCUUAUCCAUUUCGCUUACGCAAGAGAAACUUCAAGCGGGCCAAAGACAAAGGGCUUUAAUUUUUGCAAAAAACUUUGAAUUUUGCGUGAUCCUUUGUAUUUAGCUAAACACUGUGAAUUUCAAAUUGUUCCACCUUCAUGAUCGCUAGUUUAACAGCUGCGAAUGCUUCAGCCUUUCUUGGGGGCAGUAGCUCGUCUAGGAGAGCACCUGCUUUGCAAGCAGGGGGCGUCGGUUCA